rnacentral:sRNA from 1 species
GGGCAGAGCGCGUGUGGCGGCCGAGCACAUGGGCCCGCGGGCCGGGCGGGCUCGGGGCGGCCGGGACGAGGAGGGGCGACGACGAGCUGCGAGCAAAGAUGUGCCCCGGGACCCCCGGCACCUUCCAGUGGAUUUCCUUGCGGAAAGGAUGUUGGCGGUCCCUGUGACCUGUGGAGACACGGCCAGAUCUGCCCUCCAGCCUGAUCUUUUGGCCAGAAGGAGAUUAAAAAGAUGCCCCUCAAGAUGGCUGUGCCUGUCAGCUGCAUGGAGCUUCGUUCAAGUAUUUUCUGAGCCUGAUGGAUUUACAGUGAUCUUCAGUGGUCUGGGGAAUAACGCUGGUGGAACCAUGCACUGGAAUGACACACGCCCGGCACAUUUCAGGAUACUAAAAGUGGUUUUAAGGGAGGCUGUGGCUGAAUGCCUCAUGGAUUCUUACAGCUUGGAUGUCCAUGGGGGACGAAGGACUGCAGCUGGCUGAGAGGGUUGAGAUCUCUGUUUACUUAGAUCUCUGCCAACUUCCUUUGGGUCUCCCUAUGGAAUGUAAGACCCCGACUCUUCCUGGUGAAGCAUCUGAUGCACGUUCCAUCCGGCGCUCAGCUGGGCUUGAGAAUCCUGUUACACCUGGGAUUUAGGCACUUUCAAUCUGAAAAAAUACAUAUCCUUUCAGCACUCUGGACGGACUUGAGAACUGUCCUUACGUGACCUAAAGCUGGAGUAUUUUGAGAUUGGAGAAUUAAGAAGGACAGAAUAACGGGCUCCCAGAUUCACAAGCCCCACCAAGAGGAUCACCCCAGGAAUGCUUGGAGGCUGAGGAGUUCACUGAGGCUACUGCAUCUUGAGACUCAGGAUGAAGACCCAGCUUGGGGCUGUCAAAGGUUUUUUGCAUGUCUGACACCCAUGACUCCACCUGGACCUUAUGGCUCCACCCAGAAGCAAUUCAGCCCAACAGGAGGACAGCUUCAACCCAUUACGAUUUCAUCUCUGCCCCAACCACUCAGCAGCAAGCACCUGUUACCUGUCCAUCCCCACCCCUUCCCCCAAACUGCCUUUGAAAAAUCCCUAACCUAUGAGCUUUGAAUAAGAUGAGUACGAACUUCAUCGCCCAUGUGGCGUGGCCGGCCUCGUGUCUAUUAAAUUCUUUUUCUACUACAA